UCUGCCAUAAAUUUGUUUAAGGCUUUUCUUAUGUGCAUACAUACCCAGUCGGAAGUUAGAGAACGCAUUCCAAUAAAAAAGCUUCUUUCGUGCAUGCUUUGCAAGCGAAAAAGAAUGUAAGAAGCUAUAAAGAAGCCUUUUUUAUGCAUUCUAAAGAGUUUUUGUGAAACCGUCCCUUCCACUACAAUGCAUUAAAAAGCCUUCUUUUGCAAUGUAAAAAAAAACUGAAACCCGAACGAUGCCGAUCGUCCGAUAUUUUUGAGAUCGUGUUUUUCACCGAAAACCUCGCUUACGAAAGAACGCAAAAAGAAGUCUUGUUUCGGAAUGGACAAAAAAAUGGGAAACCAAUUUAAUCUAUUUUCCUUAAUGAACAGCAGCGGCGUAAAUAUAUUCACUUUUUAUCUUUAAAAACAAUAUCUGAACGCUUUGUUAUGUUUGGGGUAUAUGACUUGUUAAACUUUUCCUAAAAUUAAAUCUGUAAAAAAUAUUAAUAUUUAAUUUUAUUAAUAAUAAUAUUUAAUAUAUUUUAUAUUGUAUUAGAAAAUUAUUAAUUUGAAUCAGUUUUUUAUAUAUUUUAAUUUUAGGUAAUAAUAUAUACACGAUUACAUGAUUUUUUUUCAAAGCGUGAUUUUGUUUUAAAUUAUUAUUUUACAUUGCCGGCGCUAUAGUUUCCUCCGCCACUGUAUUCACAAGGAGUAACCGAACAAAACGGUACUCUAAAAAGCAAACGACAAGAAAAAAAGGGAAAAUGCAAGAAUGCGCGCGGUCUUUUUCGUUUCUUUUGCAUUUCUCGCCACUUGCAUUUUGAUUUUCAUUUGAAAUAGCUGGUGCCUCUGUGAUUUGUGAAAUUAAUAUAUUCUUUGCGGUUUUAAUUUUCAAAAAAACUAUUUCAAAACAAAAGCUUUAUUAUGACGGUACUAGGGACAGGGAAGGUUUUGCGUCCUACAUUCAUUUAAAUGAAACAUUAUUCGUCACAAAGAAGAGACGGUUACCGCUUCACAGACCAUUUUAAAGACCUUCGACUGGCCUUCACUAGGGCCAAAAAUAAAACUUAUAAGGCUAAAAGUAUGGCCAAAAAGAUGAGAGACGACGAAAACGGCCAGGAGUAAUACAAUAAG